UACGAAGGGGGCUAGCGUUGCUCGGAAUUACUGGGCGUAAAGGGCGCGUAGGCGGCUUUGUAAGUCGGGGGUGAAAGCCUGUGGCUCAACCACAGAAUUGCCUUCGAUACUGCAUGGCUUGAGACCGGAAGAGGUUAGUGGAACUGCGAGUGUAGAGGUGAAAUUCGUAGAUAUUCGCAAGAACACCAGUGGCGAAGGCGGCUGACUGGUCCGGUUCUGACGCUGAGGCGCGAAAGCGUGGGGAGCAAACAGG
rnacentral:rRNA from 1 species